UACGUAGGGUGCAAGCGUUGUCCGGAAUUAUUGGGCGUAAAGAGCUCGUAGGCGGUCUGUCGCGUCGGCUGUGAAAACCCGGGGCUCAACCCCGGGCCUGCAGUCGAUACGGGCAGACUAGAGUGCGGUAGGGGAGACUGGAAUUCCUGGUGUAGCGGUGAAAUGCGCAGAUAUCAAGAGGAACACCAGUGGCGAAGGCGAGUCCCUGGACAACUUCUGACGCUGAGGCACGAAAGCUAGGGGAGCAAACAGG
rnacentral:rRNA from 1 species